AGUGAACGCUGGCGGUAGGCCUAACACAUGCAAGUCGAACGGCAGCACAGUAAGAGCUUGCUCUUACGGGUGGCGAGUGGCGGACGGGUGAGGAAUACAUCGGAAUCUACUUUUUCGUGGGGGAUAACGUAGGGAAACUUACGCUAAUACCGCAUACGACCUACGGGUGAAAGCAGGGGAUCUUCGGACCUUGCGCGAUUGAAUGAGCCGAUGUCGGAUUAGCUAGUUGGCGGGGUAAAGGCCCACCAAGGCGACGAUCCGUAGCUGGUCUGAGAGGAUGAUCAGAGACACGGGAACUGAGACAGGGUGCAGACUCAUACGGGAGGCAGCAGUGGGGAAUAUUGGACAAUGGGCGGAAGCAUGAUACAGCGUUACCGCGUGAGUGAAGAGGGGCUGCGUGAUGUAGGGCUCUGUUGUGGGGAAAGAAAAGAAGCAGGCUCAUACACCGCUGGUCGGAAGGGACGCAAAGAAUAAGAACCGGCUACCUUCGUG
rnacentral:rRNA from 1 species